rnacentral:lncRNA from 1 species
CAACACGGAACUGCUGUGCAGCGCUCGAGCUUCACUCGACCUACUUAAAGAACUACCCUUUCCCGUUCCGGCCUGAGUGAAGCAGGCUGGUGGGCCAGUGAUACCCAGGAAUUAAGAAGUUUUUGGAACCCGGGAGGUCGCAGACGACUGCUCUGUGGCUGUUAUCAUGCCACAGAAUGAAUAUAUUGAAUUGCACCACAAGCGAUAUGGAUAUCGUUUGGACUACCAUGAGAAAAAGAAAGAAGGUCUGGAGGCCCAUGAACGUUCAAAGAAAGCAAAAAAAAAAAAAAAA